AGAGCGCACAUUAAUUAUCCUUGGGUCCAUGGGAUAAACAAAAACUGCAAAAACAAGUUAGCACACCCUAUAAUGGUUCUAGCAUGAUUACUAACGCAUGACUUUGAUACCAGUUGAAGGGAAAAACCU
rnacentral:pre_miRNA from 1 species